UACGGGGGGGGGGCAAGCGUUGUUCGGAAUUACUGGGCGUAAAGGGCUCGUAGGUGGCCAACUAAGUCAGACGUGAAAUCCCCUCGGCUUAACCGGGGGAACUGCGUCUGAUACUGGAUGGCUUGAGUUCGGGAGAGGGAUGCGGAAUUCCAGGUGUAGCGGUGAAAUGCGUAGAUAUCAAGAGGAAUACCUGAGGUGAAGACGGGUUGCUAGGCUGACACUGACGCUGAGGCGCGAAAGCCAGGGGAGCAAACGGG
rnacentral:rRNA from 1 species